rnacentral:rRNA from 1 species
CCUACGGGUGGCAGCAGUGGGGAAUUUUCCGCAAUGGGCGAAAGCCUGACGGAGUGACGCCGCGUGGGGGACGAAGGCCUUCGGGUCGUAAACCCCUGUCAGAGGGAAAGAAGGGAGUCGGCGUGAACAGCGCCGGCUCUUGACGGUACCUUCAGAGGAAGCCCCGGCCAACUCUGUGCCAGCAGCCGCGGUAAGACAGAGGGGGCAAGCGUUGCUCGGAAUCACUGGGCGUAAAGGGCGCGUAGGCGGGAUGGCAAGUCGGUCGUGAAAUCCCUUGGCUCAACUGAGGGGAGUCGGCCGAAACUGCUGUUCUUGAGGGAUGCAGAGGAGACUGGAAUUCCCGGUGUAGCGGUGAAAUGUGUAGAGAUCGGGAGGAACACCGGUGGCGAAGGCGGGUCUCUGGGCAUCUCCUGACGCUGAGGCGCGAAAGCGUGGGGAGC